AUAUAAAUUUGAUGGCAGGAUCGUCAAUUGUAUUGGGGCUGAGUAUUUGCAUGGUCUUCAAUGCAUGAAGUCCAAUUAGGCAUGGCAGUGAAGAAUAUGGCUGCUGCGGGUAUGGUUGUAAAAGAAACAGAUUGAGAAAGUUUGCCGCAUAAUUCAAGUCUUUUGAUCUUCCACUCAUCCACUGAACACCUUUAUGUUUAUUUCUGCAGCAAAUAUGCCACCAAAAGAUGUCUAUCUCAACGUUAGCAGUAGAGGGUCGAUGGCACAGCGGAAGCGUAGAGAAAAGGAGAAGGAAAAACAGCCCAUCACGGAACCAAAUCCGCAAAAUUUACAUGUUGAUGUUUUACUCUGGCAUCAAUUGGUAGGUACGUCCAUAUAUUACGAGAUGUGAUGCUUAGAGACUUGAUUGGAAAAAGGGUUAUUAAGUAAUGGUUGUAGCAGCACCAUGACAACUUGAUUUUGCUCGGUAUCCUUUUCGGGCGAGGAUUGUUACUAGAACAUAUUGGUGAAGACACAAAUAGCUAAGUCUAAAUUUUUUUUGUUAAUUUUAUUAUGAACUGACAAGGUGUUUGAAUGAAUGUCAUAGCCAUUAAAUCCAUUAAUUUUAUGUACUCAAAAACUCUUUUAGUAUUGGUUUUGGUUGAGAGUUUAGACUAGCAUAUAUCAAAAUUGCCUUGAAAUUUCACACCUUUCUAUAUUUUGCACAAGAAAAUACACCUAAAUAAGAAUUUGACAAAAAGCUUCUUCUGUUACAAGAGAUGAUAAGUUUCUAGCCAUUUAUUUUCAUCUAAUACUACUUUCUUAUUUGCGAAUACUGAUGCAUUCCAAGGAACCACUAGAAUUUCUAAACUUCUAAUUUGUUAAUCCAUGUAUAGUUUACUUGAUCUGUAUGAAAGUAUCGCAUAACUUCCAUAUGACCCUGAUACGUCAAUGGAAAUUAAUACCCUUUUACUACCCAGAUCUCGAAGCUUUCCUUUAAUCAUGUCUCACAUCAAUAACAUCCAAUUUCGUUUGCAUACUCAACCUUAGUAUUUACUUGAUUCAUUGCUCGCAGAUUAAUUACUUGAAUAUCAUCUGUUACUUGAGAUUAUUUGCAAUCUACUUGAGAUUAUUUGCAAUCUAAUCUGUAAGCGUAAUCUGCACUAUAAUGAGAAACUGAAGCUAAGAGCAUAAUCUUAGAAAAACCUAGAAAAUAUCGAAUAAAACAUCAGCAUUAUGGUAUUUUCUUAAAUUAUUUGGGAUUUAAUUGGAUAAUAUGAUUGUAACAAGGUGGUAAUGGAUACAGGAAUACAAUGGAAGGAUCACUACCAUUUUCCAUAAUCAAGGAUGAGUACAAGUCUUUGUUGGCUGAGGCUUUAGAUUGUUCGUUUAGUUUCUGUUGGAUUCACUGAUGGGGACACGAUGAAGUCUUGACUACGAGUUCCAGUUUGAUAAAAUGCUGAAAGGGAAACACUGAAUCAGAAAUGGCAGAGCAAAUGAAGUGUAGCGCCCAAAAGUUCAACUUAUCUUAUCUCAAUAACGUAUAAUCACAGAGGAAUGCUACCAGAAACUGAUAUCUUGGAAUCAGAGGAGUAUCCGAUGUUGAGUACACCGUGUUGAGUGGAGCCUUUUUUGAGAGAUAUCGAGUCACUAUGGAAGAAAUGAAUGCAGACUGUAAUUGAGUAGACUAUAAUUCGUAGUGAUCACAGUAUGGACGUUUUCCCCAUGCUAAAGACUUUUCACCACCGUAUUAUGCCAUUGUAUGGGUGAAGCUGAGAUCCUUCAGAGGAUAAGAGCAUGUCCUCUUUACAAGUUCAUAUUAGUCGAGGUUCUGUCAUUUGGACUGGGAGAGGCCAAUACAGAAGGAACAACACUCAGAACCCGACAAAAAUUUCUUGAGCUUUUGUGGCAAUAUCCAUUCCGUGCUUUGGAAGAGGUUAAUAAUCGAACCAUUGUGGCUCAUUAAAUCCUAAUCCACUACCUUCGAUGUUAACUGAUUCAGAUUUUUUCAUGCGACUACAUAUUAAUUUCUGUGAGAAAGGUAAUAUAUUUUCUUUUGUACUCAACAAUGAAUCACUUUUCUACUUAAAAAAAAUCAUUAUGUACAUGUCUGUUAACAAGUAGUUUUGAGACUAGGCAAUAUCAGGGGAUGACAUUAUGAAUACUACCAGGGUCAUGGCUUAGAAAACAUGGCUUACCUGCUCCAUGAGGUGUCUCCUGAAAAUAUAAUCUAAUAAAAAAAGUGGUCAUGAUCUGUCUUUACUUGGAAUUAUAGCAGUCUACGAUUUUACCUAGAGUGCUUCUAUAAAAAAAAUUUGUGUUGUAUUAUUUCUCUGGAAUUUAAUUAAAACCAUUGUCAAUGGUUUUUUUGGUUACUCAGUAGCAUCGAUUCCUCCAUUUCCUACUAACCUGAACAUUGAACAUUAACCCAUGUCUUUAAUUUUGCUUUAUUGAGAUACAAGUCAUGUUUGGUAUUUAUUGUGUUGGAUGUAAGCUUUGCAGUAUGCUCGGCGGAAUUUUGCUCAUCUAUAUGUUCUUUAUGUGUGAUUCUCAAAUAACCAUGCAGAUUACAGCUAUACUAAUUCUGGAUAGUUUUUCCACAACUCAAUGGAAUUCCAGUUGUCCAUUGUCAGGGAAACAUGAUGUGAUACGAAUAUACCGUCAUUCAACUGCAAUUACCUGAUAUAUAUUGUUUGAUGAACAUUGUCAAGGGUGUUGAGCUCAUUUUGUUGACUGUCAACAUACAAAAAGCUCACCACGCAGGGUCUACUAUUUGCGAAAUAAACGUAGUAUAAUGAACUCGGUGAAUUAGUAAUAGUGUUUCACUUAAUAUAUUGAUUAUCGUCAUUAUGACAUGGAAUGAUGGAACCAUUGGUAAAUAAAUUUCGAUAUGUAGCUAUUUGACAACUUUAAUCUAUAUUUUACUUUUCUUUGUGCCGGGAUAAUAGAGUAUGCAUGGAUAUAUUAGUAUUUCCCAUUACGUAUGAGAAGCAAAUUGGUUUAAGAUUACAUAUGGCGGAAAGAAUCAUGGCCAUAAUCUUAUGAAUGAAUACAACAAUACAGCUGCAGUAUAACUGCUACUGCACUUAGUAUAUUUUCUCAUUCUCGCUGCUACUGUUGUUUCUAUUGAAAAGACAAGCACCAUAGAUAGAUACUGCUUUUGUCCCACACUAAGACAAGUCUUUAAACCACGGAUCUGUGGCGUAAUGGUAACGCAUUUGACUCCUGUCAGAAGGUUACGUAUUCGAUUCACGUCAGAUCCAAUCACCAGUCCAAAUAAUUGAAGUGUUAUUUUCUGCUUUGGUUGGGAGAUACACACUGUUCAGUUUAUUAUCUGGGUAUUUUGUAUAUAUGUAGUUGUAGAUCCUCACAACAUUGAGGGAGAAGCUAGAUUGGCUAUAGAGAGGUUACCUGCUUAUUUGGCUGCUGAAACUGAGAAAAUUCAGGGAGACCUAAGCAAUGCCAACCAUUAUAUUGUCUUAAGUUUCAUGGUAGGGCAAGGAUGGAGAAGUGAUAGUAAAUCUUGACACGCCAAACAUGCGUGAGUGAUAUCAAUGAGAGAGAUGCAAUGGGGAAAAUAUUUUUUCGCUUAACAGUUAAGAGCUAAAAGUAUAUCGCAAGUUCAAAAUCAAAUUGCUCACUGAAUUCAGCGAGUGUAAUCAUGUCCUUAACCCAUUAGAGGGUGUGGGUAUGUCUUAAAUUUGAUUUUUUGUUGUUUGAUGUUUACUCAUCACUGUUGUGAUUGAUAAGUUUUUCCUUAUUGCAGGACAGGGUGAAAAAGGCACAAUUACAGAAUCAAUUAGAGCAACACUCGACUCUAAAGCUGCAGGAUUGAGUGUAUGUAAACCUUCAGCUUAUUCUUACAUAUAACUCAUUACCCAGUUACUUUAUAGAAUUGGAGAUUACAUAUUUUCAGGGUCUCAAGAAAUGGGAACUGCCCAAGCCCUGUUGGAAGCUGUGAAGGCAAGACUUGGGUAAAACUUGGAUACUUACGCCUUUGAGGUUGAGGAACCACAAAAGUUUCGGUUCUCCAAUAUAUCUAGGUAUUACUAUGGUUGCAGUUGAUGGUCAAAAAGGGUCUGGCGAAUUUCAGAAGAAACAGAUAGUCAUUGAAGGUACAAAGGGUUGAUAUGUGAGUCACUCUAUGAAGGGAAUGGUGAAAAUCAGUAAAAGAGGUGUUGUAGAGGAACACAUGAAUACUCCGAUAAUUGUUAUUAUUACUGAAACAUUUGUAAGCGAAUUCCGAGGUGUACUUACAUUAGCUAUUGACACUUCCUCUGGAGUGUUGAUCAAUCUGGAUUUACCAGAAGUCGAUGAAUUCAACAAAAAACCAAAUAUGAAGCAACUGCCAUGAUACAAAACACUGAAAAUAUGGGUAAAAUAUUCACCAGCGAGGCGACGGUACUGGGCUUGGUUGAGAACAAAUUAUGGUACUACAUGGCAUGCAUCAUAUGUAAUAAAAAGUUUGAGUACGACGAGGACGAGGAACCUUGGUGUAUCAAGUGCAAAAACAAAUUUGAAUAUGAUAUACCAUGUAAAGGGUGACAGAGAUACGUCAGCAUUCACAGUGAUGGAAAAGACAUCAUCAAAGUUGAUGAAAUGCACCGCCAAAGAACAUAUUAACAGGGGAGAAAAGGCACACAAGUGAUUCAACUGAAUCAAGGACCACACCUUUAUUUUCAAUUUGAGUUCAGGAUGCGAAAGAAAUGUUACACAUAUUACCAAAUAUAGGACAAGGAGACAUCUAAGGGGGAGGAAACGUGCAUUAAUUAACGAAAAAGGUAGCAAAGCAUCCAAAUACACCAGCAGCGUAGACUGAGAAAGAAAGUAGACUCGGAUGAUAAAGAGUAGACGGCCAAUGAUUUUUUGAAAACUAAUUGGAAGAAAUAAUGAAUUGGUUUACUUAUAGUUAUUUCUUUUCAAUAAUAACUUCUACAAUAAGGUUCAGUUACAUUUUUUUUAGAUUUAUUUGUUUAAAGUUAGAAUGUUUAAGGUUGUUAUCCUAUGAAUUCAU